rnacentral:rRNA from 1 species
UACAGAGGGUGCAAGCGUUAAUCGGAAUUACUGGGCGUAAAGCGCACGUAGGCGGAUAUUUAAGUCGAUUGUGAAAUCCCCAGGCUUAACCUGGGAACUGCAUCCGAUACUGGAUGGCUUGAAUCCGGGAGAGGGAUGCAGAAUUCCAGGUGUAGCGGUGAAAUGCGUAGAUAUCUGGAGGAAUACCGGUGGCGAAGGCGGCAUCCUGGACCGGCAUUGACGCUGAUGAGCGAAAGCUAGGGGAGCAAACGGG